rnacentral:rRNA from 1 species
CCCUUAGAUGUUCUGGGCCGCACGCGCGCUACACUGAUGCAUUCAACAAGCCUAGCCUUGACCGAGAGGUCCGGGUAAUCUUUGAAACUGCAUCGUGAUGGGGCUAGAUUAUUGCAAUUAUUAAUCUUCAACGAGGAAUGCCUAGUAAGCGUGAUUCAUCAAAUCGCGUUGAUUACGUCCCUGCCCUUUGUACACACCGCCCGUCGCUCCUACCGAUUGAAUGUGUUGGUGAGGAGCUCGGAUUGGCAGCAGUUGGUGGUUCGCCACCGGCUAUUGCUGAGAAGUCCUCUAAACCGCCCCAUUUAGAGGAAGGAGAAGUCGUAACA